rnacentral:rRNA from 1 species
AACGAACGCUGGCGGCAGGCUUAACACAUGCAAGUCGAACGCACCGCAAGGUGAGUGGCAGACGGGUGAGUAACGCGUGGGAAUCUACCCAGUUCUACGGAACAACACAGGGAAACUUGUGCUAAUACCGUAUACGCCCCAAGGGGGAAAGAUUUAUCGGAAUUGGAUGAGCCCGCGUUGGAUUAGCUAGUUGGUGGGGUAAUGGCCUACCAAGGCGACGAUCCAUAGCUGGUCUGAGAGGAUGAUCAGCCACACUGGGACUGAGAGACGGCCCGGACUGCUACGGGAGGCAGCAGUGGGGAAUAUUGGAGAAUGGGCGGAAGCCUGAUCCAGCCAUGCCGCGUGAGUGAUGAAGGCCUUAGGGUUGUAAAGCUCUUUCAGUAGGGACGAUAAUGACGGUACCGGAAGAAGAAGCCCCGGCUAACUUCGUGCCAGCCGCCGCAGAAAAAC